rnacentral:tRNA from 1 species
GUCAGGAUGGCCGAGUGGUCUAUGGCGCCAGACUCAAGGUGAGAAGACUUCCUGGUUGUUCGGAACUCCGAUUGGAGGCGAGGGUUCAAAUCCCUCAUCUGACU